UACCAGGUGCAUGCUUCUGAGGCCAGAAAUGGGAAUCACGUCCCUGCAACUAGAGAGAUGGAUGGUUCUGAGCCACCAUGUGGGUGCUGGGUUGUGAACCUGGGUCCUCUCUAAGAACAGCAAGUGCUCUUAACCACUGAGCUGUCUCUUCUUAGCUGCAUUUGUCAGGGAUGUUUUAUUACCAGGAGAGUGGGAUGUGUGUGUCACAUCUUAUGAAAUGCUCAUUAAAGAGAAGUCUGUGUUCAAAAAGUUUAACUGGAGAUACUUAGUUAUAGAUGAAGCUCACAGGAUAAAAAAUGAAAAAUCUAAGUUGUCAGAAAUAGUGAGGGAAUUCAAGACUACAAAUCGACUGUUGCUAACUGGGACGCCUCUUCAGAACAACUUGCACGAGCUCUGGUCACUUCUAAAUUUUCUCUUACCAGACGUGUUUAAUUCAGCUGAUGACUUUGAUUCCUGGUUCGAUACAAAUAAUUGCCUUGGGGAUCAAAAGCUUGUUGAGAGGCUUCAUAUGGUAUGUAUGGCUAGAGCAUAUUUUUCAAUGGUGAAAAAAUAUGUAAAUCACUUAUUUUACUGCUUACAGGAGUAUAAUACAGAAUUAUUUGAAUUUAAAAUUUACUGUUUGAAAUGACAUUAGGGAGAUGACGUGUGAUGGUUUUAGUGUUAGAGUCUACUUUUAAUGUCAUGUAGAAGAAAGGAAUCUCUUAAUGCACAGGUAAGGGCACUUUUGGCUAUCAGGACCAAACAAGACAUUGUGACCAUAACCUACAAGUCCCUUCAUGACAUAACAUUAGGGCUUUUCAACAUCUGUUGACAUUUUGGUUUGGAUAAUAUAUAAGGGUUAGGAGAAGAGAAGGCUGUGCUGUGUGCUGUAUAUAAUUUAACAACAUCCCUAACAUUUUGUCCUUGCUGCCAUUUGUGACAAGCAUACCUGUAAAUAUGAAAAAAGUUCCCCAGCAGAUAAACUUACACCCUGCUCACCUCUCCCUACAUCCCAAUCUUUUCAGAACACUCCAGCUUUAAUUUUACUUUUACAUAAAUUUUCUGGAAACAUUUGACUAAUUCCACUUAUUCUUUCAUCAUUGUUUUUAUUGUAUUUAGAAUUUCUGAUUUCUUUUUACAUGGCCUAAGACUUGUAUCUGCCACCUUCUUUAUUGACUAUCUAGACUGAGGCUGGACUGGGUACUUUGUGUGUUCAUUCCAUCUUUAGUCAUUUGAGCAUUCUAGCAUUAUAAGUGUUUACCCUGAUGGAGUGUAAGCACAGAGGCAAGAAACAUGGUUGUUAUAUACUUUGUACAGUACCUGGUUUCAGUGGCUAUUUUUCUUCUUUCUAUCUUCUCUUUCUCCUGUUCUCCUCCCCUUUUCCCUGUUCUGUUGUGUCGAGACAUGAUCUUGUUAGCAGCCAUGGCUUUAUUGGUAAAAUAGAACAACAGAGACUUCAUUAAAAAGACAGCAUUUGGCUCCUGACAUGGAGGCAGUUGAGGCAGCGGCAGAGGCAGCGGCAGCAAAGGAGGUGGCAGCAGCAGAACUCAAAGGCUUGCCUGGGCCUAGGCCUCAUCAGCGAGGGGUGGCAGGCUCAGGUCAGCCACUAUGCAGCUGAUAAAAUAACAACCUUGUCUCAUGGAAGGGAGGGAGGGACGGAGGGAGAAAGAGAGACGAAAGAAAGAAGAAGGAAGGAAGGAAGGGAGAAGGGAAGGAGGGAGGGAGGAAGGGAGGAAGUCCAAAGAGCAGUCAAGCUUCCCUGCCCUGUGGAAAGUCCAAGGUCCUCCCCUCUCCGUCCAUGUUUUGGAAGGUGAACAUCCAAACUGGCUAGGCUCCCACAAAGCCAGAACAUGAAGUGUUAGACUCUAGCGUCCAAACACCAAGAAGGAGUCGCCCCCAGAGACCAUCUCAUAUAUUACAGCCAAUGCAAAAGCAUGAGGAUUGUAGGGAUAAGCCCUCCCCUUGGGGGCGGGCUGCCCUCAGGCGUAUGUUUACUGAUAUAGUGCGCGGGCAGAGGCUGCGCGGGCCCUUCCGCUUGCUCUCCUGUUUCCGCUGGCUACCCCGCUGGAACCUUGGUUUUGUGAGUCUGUUUUGUUAUUAAAUUUGUCUAAAUAUCAAUUACUGGUGAUUUAUUGAUCCGACC